rnacentral:tRNA from 1 species
GCGCCUGUAGCUCAGUGGCUAGGGUGCCAGUCACAUACACUGGAGCUAGUGGGUUCGAAUCCAGCCCAGGCCCA